UGUUUACCUAUUGUCAUGAAUUUUUAUGAUUUUUAAUGGCUUUUUUUUCUUUCUAGGAACUGCAUUAACUCUAAUUACGGCUUACCAUAUCUCUGUUCAUUAUUACACAUUUGGUGAGCAGAGAGCAGGAAAAAAAGAAAGAGAAAUUAUUAGUCUUUUUAGAGAGGGAACUAUUGUGAUGGUCAUUAGAAGGGAAGUAUGGUAUUUUGUCUGUGAAAUUUGUCAGAAUGAGGCUAGGCUGGAGACAAGUGAGCAAUAAUGAGGCUCUUGAAACCUGUCUGCAGGUGUGUAGCAGUGAAAUAACAGGCAGGUGCAGAGAGUGAGUCUUUAAUCAGAGUUUUGGCAGGGAUCUCGUUCAUGAUCUGCCAUUUGGCUUAUGUGCCAAGGAGAAAAUUCUGUAGCAAAGGACUUGGAACACAAAAUGCAACUUCUGUUUGAGCAGAAAUUUCUUUCUUUCUUCUUCGUCUCUUUUUUGUUUGUUUGUUUAAUUUUCAGUGUACUACCAUCUCAGAAAGCUGAAGGCUUGUUCAUAAUAGCAGGAAGAAAUGACUAUGGCUCCUUGUCUGUCUGAGGAUAGCUGGCUCUAAUCUAGAGGUGAUCUCAAAGAAAAAUACUCAAGGGGAAUUCGGGGACCAGAGGUUUAAUGGUUGCGGUUUUAUAAUCUUUAUCAGAGCAUUGAGGCUUGAAUAGGAAGAUAGGAGUAGUCACCUCCAAGAUUUCUGUCACCUCAAUCAACCUUCAAGAGAAAAUCAUCGCAAGAGAGCCUCUGAGGCUCAUGCAGAUGUGAGUGAUAACAUGAGGCCGUCAUAAGGCAAGAGUCAUUUGUCUCCAGACAUCUUCCAAAUGGACUGAGUGAUGAAUCACAAAGCUGAAACAACAAUAAAUACAGGACAGACCAGCAAAAAUAAAACCAUCAUCUCAAUACCUGUAAGUACUCAGUUAUAAAAAUAAUAACAUUAAAUUAGAUGUUCAUAAUGUUAUGGAGUGAGAUAGGG